GGAAAGUGUGACCCCCAAGGAGAUCCAGGCUUCACCAAAAACAGAUAGUUGAACAUCGGCCUAACAACUCAACAAGCAUCACAUGGAAGACACCCUCAAGUCCUAACAGAGGAAAAUUUCACUUCCCUAAAAAAGAGGAACCGGAUAUGAGAAGGAAGUUAACCUUUUC
rnacentral:lncRNA from 1 species